UUUUAGUCUGGUUUCGAAAAAAAAGGAAAGAAAUCCUCUGAAAGAGGAUUUGAGGUUCAGUCCAAGGGUUCUGUCUCCGUUCCUAAUUUUCUCACACGCUCACGCGCCACCACGCACGGUGGUCAGAGGGUUAAAACCUUCGUCUUUUCAAGGCGAAAACUCAGGCGAGUGAAGAAAUCUUGACGGAGGAUGCGCCAAUUAUGGAGCGAUGUGGGACCGGAGUCGCGACGUUGAUGAUGUAGAUCUAUCAGUGGCGUCGAUCACGGAGUGAUUCGAGGCCAAAGCUACGGCACCAGUGGAGGAUUACUGGAACGGCGCUAUACGAACCAACGCAUUAAUUGCAGCACAAAACAAGGCUGAUGUUGGCAUGAUGACCGAUCCUUGCGAGACGAACAGUCACGCCUGUUGGUGCUUGCGGCGCCUAGGGUUUCUGAAACCUCAGGCCUUUCCAGAUCCUGUUAACCAUUUGGGCCAUUUGGGCUCUGUGUACUAAAUAAGUCUGUUGGGUAGGUUUAGGCCUGGUACGAGCUAAGUCUAGGUGGGUUAUUGGGUUUUAACAUUUGUAAAAUGACUAUUUAAAAAAACUUAUAUUAUUAUUA